GCUUCCCUGGUGGUCCAGCCCUUAAGAUGCUGCACUUCCACUGUAGGGGGUCCAGGUUUGAUCCCUGGUCAGGAAACAAAAAUCCCACUUGCUGCAUGGCUGACCAAAAAAGUUAAAGGAAAAUGUGACAUUUUGACUCCUUUCACCCCUUUCUCCCAUCCUUCAUCCCUCUCCAUCUCUGGCAACCACCAAUCUGUUCCCUAUAUCUUGUCUUUUUUUUUAAUUUUAGAGUCCACAUAUAAGAGACAUCAGGCAGUACUUCUCUGACUUUCACUUAGCUUAAUGCCCUCAAGGUCAUCCAUGUUGUCGCAAAUGUUUCCAAAGGAGCGGCUUCAUGUGAAAUUUGUGGGAAGGCUGCUAUUCAGAGUUUAAUGCCAUUAUGUAGUAGCCCCGUGAAAAUCCAGCAGGAAGAAUGUAGAUACUUCUAGAAGAUGCUGAAAACUAUUUGAAAAAUGAAGAAUUCAUAGACAUAAUUUCUCUAAAGUCAUCGAGUUGGAGAUUGAAUAAAUGGAUAAUUGAA